GGCGCUCCAGCCGGGGCCGGAGCUGGCGCCAACAGCCCCGCAGCACUCAUGUCGCCUCCGCCCGAAGCUAGGCGUGCCCCCCGGGAACCACAGCCACCCGCCCUCCAGGCUCUACGUCCGCGUCGCAGCGCCUGAGGAACUUGCUAACCAAUUCUCAACUGAGCAAGUGGAACAUGUGCCUGCAGAAAAUUAAUUAGACACAGGGCUUCCUCGGUGGCUCAGUAGUAAAGAAACCAUCUGCCAGUGCAGGAGACUCGAGUU